rnacentral:sRNA from 1 species
CUGGUGGAACUUGUUUGGAAGUUGAGCUGUUGGGGCAGCUGUUCUUGUUUUCCAUGCAUGUGACCAGGACAGGGCCAGCUCAGCAAACGGGCCAAGCCAUGAGCACAGCGUUGUGGCCAGAGAUGUGGAUACUGGGGCAGCGCACUCAUUCCCUACCUAGUUAUGAACAUGUCUGUCCAGUGGACCUCUCAGGGUGGAGGUGGGGAAAGUGGGCAGGCAGGCAGUGUGGGCCUAAUUCCUAGAAGGCAAGUCCCUGGAUAGGAAAGGUGGGGAAGAGAAGUCCCCGUUGAGGAGUGGCUCAGGGAGGGAGUGUUCAGGAAGAACGGGAGACACUGGUAUAUGGUGGGUCCAGAUAUGUUGGGUGCCGUGUGCCAUCUCUGGUGCCAUCUAACUUACCUGUGGAACAGCCUCCCAGGCUGGGCAGCUGCUCAGGUCUCACCUCUCUGCUUUCUGUAGGUAUUGGCAAGCUUGCCAGUGUACCUGCCGGUGGGGCUGUAGCUGUCUCUGCUGCCCCAGGUUCUGCAGCCCCUGCUGCUGGUUCUGCCCCUGCUGCAGCAGAGGAGAAGAAAGAUGAGAAGAAGGAGGAGUCUGAAGAGUCAGACGAUGACAUGGGAUUUGGCCUUUUUGAUUAAAUUCCUGCUCCCCU